GUCUGGCACAAAUGGCACAAUUAGAUCAAACAGGAUGUUUUUGCAUAAAAAUCCAAAAUUUUCCCCAAAGCUGAAGAUGAAACUUAAUGGAAGGAUUUCUUUUUUUGAUGAACAACAGACAGAGGGGAUCAUUGAUAGAAUUUAAAGAGUCACACAGAUUGACAUGACAGAAUUAAGUAAUACAUCCUACAUUUUGGAAGUACUUACUCCUGAGGUAACCCUAUUAAUCCUAAAAAAGACAGAGGGCUUCCACAGGUUCCAGGCAGAAACGGCUUUGCAAACAAAGGGACAUUUGGGAGCAUCCACAGAUUCUGAUCCUGAAUGGUUUUGAUGACAAAGGAAUUCCUCCUGUUACUGUACCACACAUUGUGCUACUGUCUGGACUUUUCUCUGUGCCCCC